AUCCAGCUGACAAGUUCCAAAUAGAACGAAACGCGUAUACUGGAU
rnacentral:hammerhead_ribozyme from 1 species